GGACUCUCAUGUGUACAUCUAAAGACGCUUUUCGGCUAAAUCUUUGUCCACAGGACUCACAAGCAAAAGGCUUCUGUCCUGUGUGGACUCUCAUGUGUCUGUUUAAAGGUGACUUUAAGCUAAAUUUCUUUCCACAGAGCUCACAAGCAAAAGGCUUCUCUUCUGUGUGGACUAUCAUGUGUGUGUUUAAAGCUGACUUUAAGCUAAAUUUCUUUCCACAGAGCUCACAAGCAAAAGGCUUCUGUCCUGUGUGGACUCUCAUGUGUGUGUUUAAAAGUGUCCUAUGACUAAAGGAUUUGUUGACAGUCCUAAAAUCUGACUCAGAACACCUGUUCUCAUUCCAGUCAUUGUCUCCGUCUCCAGUUUCAGACCCAGAGUCUGACAGCUCAGAGACUUGAGUUGCAUCAUCAUCAUCAUCAUCAUCCUCAUCUCCAACGUCAGUCUCUGAAGAAUCAGGAGUCAGUUCAUGAGGGUUAAGAUCUGGGUUCCGGCUAGUUUCUAGUCCACCAGUUUCUGCCGUCAUCUGGUCAGCUGAGCUGCUGGUUGGAACAUCUCCGUCUUCUAUUUGCUUUUGAUGAAGCUGUGAGAACAGAGGCUUCUCUUCAUCUUCCUCACUCUUUAUAGAAGCAACAGUGAAUGGAAACCUGGCAGCAUCAGUCUCCUCCUUCAAAUGGAGAUGCACCCUUUCCAUACUGGGCCAGAGUUUCUCCUCUUCCUCCUUUAUGUGGAGAAAAUCUAAGUCCUGCUGGUUGACACCAGCGCUAUGUUCUUCUAGAGCUUCUUCUUUAACCAGCACCACCUGUUGAAAUGCUGUAGGAAACACAGAAACGUAUGAUGUGAAUUACCAACAGCUGUAACUGUGUUUUCAAACAUAUAACAGGAGCCCUGACAAACAGCCAAGUAAAAGACGCAUACUAACACCUAUUAUAAAAAGACCUUUUUUCCCUGCACACUGAACCAGGACAUAAAAAUUCAAUGAGCUGCAUACUGACUAGAAAGUUUGCCCUUAUAGCCUGGUGAUAUUGUGUGUGUGUGUGUGUGUGUGUGUGUGUGUGUGUGUGUGUGUGUGUGUGUGUGUGUGUGUGUGUGUGUGUGUGUGUGUGUGUGUGUG
rnacentral:lncRNA from 1 species